AAAAAAAAAAAAGGAGCAAAAGGAAAGAGAGAAAGAAUCGAAGCCUCAAGCGUCACGUCUAGGAAUAGCGCUGGAGUCGGGCCAAGUCAUUAGAGACGAUGAGUAAUCUGGUUAAGUCAUUUCUCUAAACACCAUUCCUUCAGGCUCUUCCAGACCUUCCUGAGUGGUAGUGGCCACGGCUGAAGACAGAGGGCUGCGUGGAGGCUGAAGGCAGAGGGCUGGGCCUUGGGCCUGGGUAAAGACAGCUCUGGACAUGGAGUGGCAGGAGCGAUAAGCAGAACUACUGGUGACACUGUGGGAGAGAAAUUCUGCAAAAUAACAGCUGGGCAGCCCGGGACCCCAGGGAGUUGAAAUGGGACCUCGGAGACAUCAGGAUGUCCUGGAGAGGCACCAAGGCCAGAGGUCCCCCAGGGACCGUGGAGGGGGCAUUAAGCCCUGAAAACAGAUCAUGAUGCCCAUCCCCCCAGCACAAUUAGAAAUAAAAACAACCCGGGACAGUUAAAUUAGUGUAAGGAAGUCCCUCAAGAGUUUUACUUUUCCCGUAACGGCGAUUUUCGAUGCUCCUUCGGAAACAUCAGAUUCUUUCCAAGCGUUAUUCUUUUUCUAUUUUGGUGCCCGAAGUACUAGCGUGGUGGACCAAGCCCC
rnacentral:lncRNA from 1 species